UCAGUUUUAAUGAACCCUUGUGAAAUGUUGACUUUGGGUCAAACUGACCCGUUUUCAAUUUUUGUUUCAUAUCAGAAAAUAUGGGAUGUAGAAAUAAGCGGUGAAAAUGUGUAGAAGAAAAAUUUAACAAUUUAACACGUUGGAAAAAGCAAAAACAAACUGUGAAAAA